GGGGGGGUUUUGUUUAUUAUUUGGGGUUUUUUUUAGUUCGUUUUGCUAUGGUUUUCUUUAAGCUUAGUCAGCAUCCGGAAAUCUGAGCACAAAAGAAACCCCAACCCUUACACGAACGUUGCGGUCCAAUUUAACCCAGUGGCAGAGGAGUGAAAAUGCCGGUGAGGCUUCUCGCUUUCCGCAGGGACAUGGCUAGAGCAGAGGGAAGGAGGAGAACCGAGGCCGAGGUUUCACCGCGCCCGCAGCUCAGCCAAGCUGUUGUUUUAAAGGAGCAAUAAAAGUGAAUUAUGACUAAACGCCUUCUCACUUAAUGGUUUUAGACGGGGAUCCCCAGCCUCGGCAAAUACGUAAGAGGAUUUUUAUUUGUGAAUGUGUUCCUGCAAUUGAUCUCUUUGAUGACAUUCUCAUUCAUAGAAAGAGUUUGAUUUAUGACUUUCGGAAGAAUUGCGUUCAGCCCUUCCAACUAUAACCCACGCAUCCCAGCUCCACAGCGAGUUACAGGGCUGGGAGACAACACGGCUCGCAUGGACGGACAGCAGAGCCCCGUUCACAACCCCCCACCCAAGCCCCACUCAUUUGUGUAAUGCACUCACUCGCACUCACGCAAGGAGCUGCGACCGUCCCCGCCCGGGAUCCCCCGGCCCCGGGGCGGCAGAGCCCCGCUGGCAUCUGUUGCACCGUUUUAGCCCGAAGAAAGGGGCUCACCCUCCACUUUGGGGUUCGGCAACGCCGGCUGCCAGGCAAUUUGGUGGAGAUCUCUGAAAGCCUGUCUAUGCCGCCUCCAGCAGAAGAGCGGGGAGCCCGAGGAAAUCGGAACUUUAAAGGCUCAUUUCUUGGAUUACUCAGCACGUGAGAAGUAACCAACCACAUUCUUUGUGAGCUCUGAUAUUUUAAAAGAUACGUUUUCUGAAAUAUCUUGCUGGCUGCUAAGCACUACUUUCUAGAAAAACAGGAUUAUUUUAAUUUUAUUUUUUUAAAAAGCACCUUUCCUUUCAUUCAUGUAACAGGCUGGUUUCUGAUAAGCAGGAGACGCUUAUCCUACUGAGUCUCUGUUACGUUCUGCCUGUACCAGAGAAAGUCCUCAUUCCUGCUUUUGUUACAGCUCAGGUUUUCCAAGCUUUGUAUCCUCACAGAGAUAAGAUGCCACAUUUAUACAUUAAAAGGAACAAAUCUCCAUCAAACCUGUGAACGGUUUUAAUUUCUUUAGUUUGUUUUUCCUUCCCUUCUGAGAAUCCUUAUAAUAAAGAAAAUGAAAGAUUUUUUUCCUCUCUAACGAAUGUCCUAAAUUUCCAAAAGGGAAGAGCUCGUUGUCAGAACGUUGAAUUUUGAUUAUUAGUAAAUUAAUAGUGGAAGGGAUGGGGAGAGAUACCCGUCAUAUUAUCCAUCUUGAAAGCAGAAAGAGAGCAGAAAGAGAAAGAAAAAAGAGAAAGCUCCUUGUAGCAAACAAGAAUUUAUUCUACCAAAAAUACUUAUGACAACGCAUCCUAAUGUAAUACAAAAAUAAAAAGAAAGUGAAGAUACAUUCCUAUAUGAUCACUUUCUUACAGACCUCAUAUAUUGCUUUCAUAGAAGGACCUAGAAUGUGGCUAGGUUAAAAUUGAACACAACUUAAACUUUAUAAGAAACGGCCAAAUGGCAUAUCAGAGGGAAGUAACAAACAGAAAAUAGUGAAGAGGGAAAGGGAGGGGAAACAUAAAAUUAAUUCACUGGGGGGAAAAAUUAAGAAGAAUAAGGAGGAGAAAGCAGGACCCUUGGAGAGGACUUCUUUAAUUUCUUAGUAAUUCAGAUGCUGCAAGUCAAUUGUGGUGAGUGUGUCUGUAAAAAAGUCAAAACUGUCA